UACGUAGGGGGCAAGCGUUGUCCGGAUUUAUUGGGCGUAAAGAGCGUGUAGGCGGCCAAACAGGUCAGCUGUGAAAACUCGAGGCUCAACCUCGAGACGUCGGUUGAAACCGUUUGGCUAGAGUCCGGAAGAGGAGAGUGGAAUUCCCGGUGUAGCGGUGAAAUGCGCAGAUAUCGGGAAGAACACCCGUGGCGAAGGCGGCUCACUGGACAUGUAUUGACGCUGAGGUGCGAAAGCGUGGGGAGCAAACAGG
rnacentral:rRNA from 1 species